rnacentral:lncRNA from 1 species
AUCAAGUUGUAUGUUUUGGGAGUCUCUGCCUUCCUUCCUGCAGACAGAGAGGUGUUCCAGCAGGACUGGCUGCAUCAUUAAAGCAAUCAACUUCAUCAAGCCCCAUUUUCUCAUCUGAAAAUGACAUCAAAUUUAAGUUAGGAGCUUAUUAAUUUAAAAAAAAGUGGCCCGGUGCCCUGUGGAGGAUGUUAUUUCCAUAUGAAAAUUUGCACCAACUACAUUUCGGCAUUGGGCUACAAACUCAGAGAGAGGUAUUAUUAUUAGGUCACUGUGGCAUCUGGGAAAAUGUUUUAUUCUACAGGAUAUGAUCCUCAGAUCAUGUUUAAAGUAUUAGAUAGAAGAACAGAGAAAACACAAAGUUUGCAGAUGCUUCUAAAGUGAGCAACAGACAAAAACGAAACCUAUCCAAGUUUGAAAGUAAGUGGGCAAGGUGAAGUGUUCUAAUUCAAAGACAAACUAAACCAUGUGUAUCAGUGCAUUUUCUGUUGCUUAUAACGGAAUACCUACAGCUGGGUAAUUUUCUUAUUUAAACAACAUUUAUUUCUUACAGUUAUGGAGGCUGAGAAGUUACAGUUUGAGAAGCCGCAUCUGCUGAGAGCCUUCUUGAUGAUGGGGAUUGCUGAGGAGUCCUUGAGGCAGCCCAGGGUAUCACAUGCCAAGGUCACUGAGGGUGCUACCUCAGGAGUGUUGAUCAUGACCCUGUGAUGGAUGAGAAAAUAUAUCCCACCUUUCUGUUCUGCCAAAACAAAUAAUAAUUUGAAGCUCAG